CCUACGGGUGGCUGCAGUGGGGAAUAUUGGACAAUGGGGGCAACCCUGAUCCAGCCAUGCCGCGUGUGUGAAGAAGGCCCUCGGGUUGUAAAGCACUUUCAGUGAGGAAGAACGCCUGGUGGUUAAUACCCAUCAGGAAAGACAUCACUCACAGAAGAAGCACCGGCUAACUCCGUGCCAGCAGCCGCGGUAAUACGGAGGGUGCGAGCGUUAAUCGGAAUUACUGGGCGUAAAGCGCGCGUAGGUGGCUUGAUAAGCCGGUUGUGAAAGCCCCGAGCUCAACCUGGGAACGGCAUCCGGAACUGUCAAGCUAGAGUGCAGGAGAGGAAGGUAGAAUUCCCGGUGUAGCGGUGAAAUGCGUAGAGAUCGGGAGGAAUACCAGUGGCGAAGGCGGCCUUCUGGACUGACACUGACACUGAGGUGCGAAAGCGUGGGUAGCAAACAGGAUUAGAUACCCCGGUAGUC
rnacentral:rRNA from 1 species